UACGUAGGGAGCAGGCGUUGUCCGGAAUCAUUGGGCGUAAAGCGCGCGUAGGUGGCCCUGUAAGUCCGUUGUGAAAGUCAAAGGCUCAACCUUUGAAAGCCGAUGGAUACUGCAGGGCUAGAGUACGGAAGAGGCGAGUGGAAUUCCUGGUGUAGCGGUGGAAUGCGUAGAGAUCCGGAAGAACACCGGUGGCGAAGGCGGCCUGCUGGGCAGUGGCUCGCAAGAGUCAAUAGCUGACGCUGAGGCGCGACAGCGUGGGGAGCAAACAGG
rnacentral:rRNA from 1 species